rnacentral:lncRNA from 1 species
GCGAGGAUUACAACACUAGUUACAAGGUUAGAGUCAGUCCCUUGAGAAAUGAUUUACCAGAGAUUAAUAUUUUUCUUUAAUCAUAUAAUGAAAGUAUCAACAUGUCUACAUAUGUGGGAUCACUUCAUGUAAAAAGGCAGGUCUUUACAUAAGCAAACAAACAAAACCCUGCCUUGUAGACCAGAUCUAAACACAGUGGCCUCUUUUUUACAGGUCUUGAAUACUUUUUCUUCCUCUGAAAUGAACCAGCGCCAACAUUUACAGAAGUCAUACUGAUUGCCACCUAAUUAUAGGCACAUAUGUGAGAACAUUGGCUUUCAUGUUUUUCAAGCAACAGAAUGCAGGCUGAACUUCUAACCUUAUUUUUUUUUUUUUUUUUCCUCUGGCAGCUACAAUCAACAAAUAAAUGACACUGUGAUAUGUGAAAAUGUACAUAGGCAGACACGACAUCAUCUGUGAACAUCAGGUUCAUUUGUAAGAGCUAGGAUCUGAGGAGAAGGAAGACAAAACAGAAAUAUGUGUAGUCUAGUACUCAUAUUUAAAGUUGCUAUUUAUUCUUCUUUUAGCUCAAAUCUAUGCUGCAAAAACAGGACAAACACUUGAAAUAUAUCCAGGAGUACAGAGUGUGUUUUUCAUAGGAGGAAUGGGAAAGCAGGAAACAACAGUAACAUUUGCCAUUUCUUUAGAUAUACCUGGAGCAUGUAUGGGUAAGAUGGAAAAGGAGAUUUUCAGAAAAGCAAAGUUUUCUUGGAAUGAUAUUGCAGUAACUUACUAUGAAGAAAAACAGUAUGCAAGAGAAGAACUUCUCCCUAAUGUUUUGAGAUAUCUCAAGUUUGACCAUACACAGUAAUCCAGAAACUGUCUCCUUUCAGCAGUUUCAGGGGGAAUACCUACCCAGUCCUGCUGGAUAAUUUCUACCUCUCUCUCAAAUAUAUAGAAGGAAUCACUACAUCUUUCAUCAAGACGUCAGAGGACUGCUGUUACUAAAGGAUGGAAGGAGGAAACUUGACAUAUCAGAAGAAAUACAGAAAGUAUUUUUCUGCAUUGACUUAAAGUAAUCGGGGUGAAUCCCUAAUAGAGCUUAUCAGCUAAAAAUGUAAUAU